AUGGCGGAAUGGCAGAACUUGAAAGUCAAGGCGGCUGUUGGCUCUGUUUUACCUACUGAACCCGGCGCAACCUACCACUGCCGGCAGAUUCCAGAAGGAUAUGCUAGGGUGAUGGUGGAUGAAAUAACGGAGGGAUUUGAGGACCUCCAGCUUGACCACCCUACCGGUGAAGGGGAGACUCGGCUGGGUUUAGCUCUAAAGACUCCAUGCCUAUGGCGGAAGGAGCUCAUCAAGCUUCCGAACUGGAUGGCUCCGGCGAGUAAGGGCACUCCGCCUCCUCCUCCGGCGAGUGAUCAGGGCACUCAGCCUCCUUCUCCGGCGCGUGGCGGCACUCCGCCUCCUUCUCCGCCAGCGCCGGCGCGCCAGAGCAGCCAGCCUCCUCCUUCUCCGCCUCGUCAGCAAGGGCGGAAGAGACCCGCCGCCGCUGCGGCUGCUCCGGCGCGUCGUAGUCCUUCUCCUCCGCCUCGUAAGCAAGGAAAGAAGACAGCCGCAGCCGCUCCGUCUGCUUUGCCGGCGUCUAGCAGUACAGCUGCCAGAGGCGGGAGGCAAUACAGAUUCGGUCCUUCUCUGAAGACUCUAGAGAAGUUACCAUAUGAGAGGACCGAGGAGGAGAACGCGAAGAUCGUGCGAGCCGAAGUGAAGAACUUCUUUGAAGGGGACAAAGCAAAGAAACAUCCACCUCCGGAGGAGAAGGUAGAUCCGGUGAAAGCAAAGCGCACUCUGGCUGCCUUGACAAAACCACCAAAGUCUCCGCCAAAAGGCAACUAUGAGCGCGUUCUUGCAAAGGCAUAUGCCGAAGCGGAGCGGUCGGGAAGUACUGUUAGUGAUAAAAGGAUGAAAGAACGACGAGUUGGGAAAAAAAUUGCCCAGCUCGGCGAACAAGAGAACCAAUCGUGCCCCCCGCUCAAGGUGUCAAAAGACAUCGUCGCUAAUGAUCCGGGUAUGGUGCCCGGUUAUACCGAUCUUGGAGAUUACCUGCCCGACGAUGUACAUUAUGAAAUCAUGGAGGUGGACGAACACAAAUACCAUUACGGGAAGCCUCUCGUCAAAGAUGUCAAAUCUCUAAGCACGAUGAUGCGAAGACUACAUGAUUGGUACAUGAAAACCUGCAGAGAGUCUGAUGGGAUGAGUACUUUAACGCUGAGAGUUAAACCGGAGCAUGACCUCGUUGAAAUUGAACUGCUGAAUGUUCCAUUUGAGGAUUUCUUCCAGUUUUCGAUCUAA
rnacentral:rRNA from 1 species